AUACUUACCUGGGCGAGGUCAAUUAGUGAUCAGGAAGGUUGAUGGCAUAGAGAGAGAACCUUCAUUGCACUUGGAAGGGGGCUCUAUCUAGAAUCUCCCUAUGUGGAGAGUGCAUUCCAUAGUUUGUGACAGAGAGGGCUCACGUUCGUGCGACUCCCAA